rnacentral:lncRNA from 1 species
UGAGUAGGAUUAGGAUUUGAUUUAGGAUUUAGGAUUUAUCUAGGAUUUGAUUUAGGAUUUGGUUUAGGAUCUAGGAUUUGAUCUAAGAUUUGAUUUAGGAUUUAGGAUUUGUCUAGGAUUUGAUUUGAGGUCUAAGGUUUGUUUUAGAUUUUAGAGUUUGUCUAGGAUUUGAUUUAGGAUUUGAUUUAAGAUCUAGGAUUUGUUUUAGAAUUUAAGAUUUGUCUAAGGUUUGAUUUAGGAUUUAAUUUAGGAAUUAAGAUUUGAUUUAGAGUUUGAUUUAAGAUCUAAGAUUUGAUCUAGAGAUUGAUUUAGGAUUUAAGAUUUGAUUAAAAUUUGAUUAAAGUCCAUUAGGAUUUUAAGUGGGAUUAAAUUAAAAAUUUGUUGAAAUUUAUUAAAGAUAUAUUUGUGAUUAUUUUAAUAUUUUUUUAGGACUUCUUAAGAAUUUUUUUAAGAUUUAUUGUAGAUUUUUUUCAAAAUUCCUUUAAGAUUUAUUAUU